rnacentral:rRNA from 1 species
GAUGAACGCUAGCGGCAGGCUUAACACAUGCAAGUCGAGGGGUAUAGUAGCAAUACUAGAGACCGGCGCACGGGUGCGUAACGCGUAUGCAAUCUACCUUUCACAGAGGGUUAGCCCAGAGAAAUUUGGAUUAAUACCUCAUAGUUUAGUAUCUUGGCAUCAAGGUACUAGUAAAGUCACAACGGUGUAAAAUGAGCAUGCGUCCCAUGUGUUAGUUGGUAAGGGAACGGCUUACCAGGACUACGAUGGGUAGGGGUCCUGAGAGGGAGAUCCCCCACACUGGUACUGAGACACGGACCAGACUCCUACGGGAGGCAGCAGUGAGGAAUAUUGGACAAUGGGCGCAAGCCUGAUCCAGCCAUGCCGCGUGCAGGAUGACGGUCCUAUGGAUUGUGAACUGCUUUUGUACAGGAAGAAACACCCCGACGUGUCGGGACUUGACGGUACUGUAAGAAUAAGGAUCGGCUAACUCCGUGCCAGCCGCCGCAGUAA